CUGAGCUGGCAUCUGGAUCAAAACUGUACAGCUAGAUAACACUCAUUUUCCUCGCCAUUUUUGUUGGACCGGUAUGUUAGGUCGAGGUUGUAAAAGGCUAUAAGCUAGCGAGAGAGCACUUUAGUCUUACUUUUGUGAAACAAAGACAGUUUUUAAAUUCACAAAGUCAUGAAGUCAACUCGAUGUAAGUGUUACACUUUUGCUAAACCGGAUUUAAAUUUGAUCAGACAGUUGGAUAAAAAGUCAGUGUUAAACAACAGUAAUUUGUUUUCACAACAGAUUUUUUUUUGCAGAUUUGAGAUAAAAAAUGCAAACUAUUAAACUUCAAGUAACAAGAAAGCAUUUGGCAAAAUAAAAUAGCAAUAUUUAUAAUUCUUGAUUAUAAAUUUUUGCUAUAACGUUUAUUUAGCAGAAUCCAGCUGGACAGCCAAUGUUCUCAAAGAGAAACUUUUAUUAUAACUGGUUAAAGAAAAUUAUCAAAUACAAAAUAGGUAGAAAAUGCUGCAUACAAUGAAAAAACAAGAAACUGGUUUUAGUUUUUGAAUAAAAAAAAAAUGAUUGUUAAAUGUUGACAUUUUAUUGCCCCGACAACGACUGUUAAGUUCUUUUCAAUUUCACUCCUUCUGUUUUUCAAACUGAUUUUCAAAAUUCCAAUUGUGCUGAUCAUAUAAAUUUAAGUAUGUUAGUAUAUUUUGCAGUCAGCCAUGCGAUUAAUUGAUGGAUCUCUGUGGGUCACAAGGGGGUGUUGCAGGAAGACAAGCUUCAAUCUGCUCUGAAAAACAACUUUCCUCCUCCUUUACUCUGGAAAGGAGGAAGCUGCUAGAUCUACUAAAUAAGAGCAUCAUUUUUUGCUUACAUCAUAACUACUUAUUUCACUGUCUUGACUUUUUCCAACCCGUCACAUUUCUUUUUUCUGCAGUUGAGGGACACAGGGCCAUCAUCUUAAGCAGGUUCAGAUGGAUACUGUGCUCGCUGAGGGACUCCACUGCAGGUCAGUCUGUCUCCAUGACAACCGUCUCCUAGAGCUUGUGUGUGAAGCUGCUCUUCACUGUCUGUUAGGAAGUGUGUGACCAUGUUUACAUGCUGCCAUCUUCAAAACUUCAGAAGCUGCUCUCAUCAUUGAACAUCAGAUCUUCCUGUAAAGGCACCCCGCCUGCAGGAUGAAGUACGGAUGGAAACAACCUCAAUGUUAUGACCCUGUGUGAGCUCCAGAGCAGGAUUACUACUCCGGGGGGUCAGCAUGGAUGAGGACGGACCAAAGGUCAAAGUUGAGUCUUUAUUUUGCUUUGGCUGUAUGACAACAGCUUCAAUUGGAAUUCCACAUUAGGCUCUAAAGCUGAGAUGUUGUCCUCAGGAUCCCCUGGUUCCUGUACCCCAUCAUCUACGACAUUUGAGCCCGACCGGGGAGGUCUCCUCACUCACUAGAAGGAAAGCCCAGCAGGAGGCGCAGGGCGCUCAGUACUAUGUGGAGGAGGCCAAGCAGGAGCAGAGGCAGAAAAUCCUCCAGGCUGAAGGAGAAGCUCAGGCUGCCAAGAUGGUGAGAUCCCACAGUCCUGAUCUUCUCUGAAAACAAGACGUGUACAGAAACAAGCAGGAAAAUAUUCCAGUUCAUUAAACUCCGUAAAUUCAUCUGCCAUAAGCUGUGAGUGCACAUGCACGUGCAUGUGCACGUGUAUUCUCUUCUAAAUUCUUCAAUCAUCUGUGAAGGUUCGUGUUUAGAAUCAGGAAGUGAAUUUAGAAAAAGAUUUUACAGAGAAACACACUCAGAUGUUCAAGAGCACAGAUCCACACAAUGAUGGAAAGACCAGUCAGGUUACAGUCAUCAAAGCAGAGGCUCCGCCCACCUCAGUCUAACCACCACUAAACCUCAUCUUCGUAGAUUUCUUCAUAAGAAGUCCAAAAUACAUAUUUCUGCCUUACUCACUCAAAUAAUAGAAAUGACAUAGAAGUUGGGAAGAAGUCAAGGAAAACAUUACUGUUCAGAAGAGAAGCAGAAAACAUCCCCACUUGUCUCUCUCCCCACUUAACCCCCCCCUCCCCUCAUACACACACACCAAGAAUGAGACUCUGGGGGAGGACAGUGAGAACAAUGGAGCAGUUUACAGAUGACCUCAACUAUGAUGUCAUAUGCCUGCGACAGUGUUAUCUGCAUGAUUCUUUGUUGGAGCGUGGACAGAACCUUUCUGAUCCUGUUUUUAAUGUUUGUUUCCACAGAAAUCUAGGUUUUAAUGAAAGUUUUUGUAAAAGAAUGCUUUCUUUUGCGUUCGCUUUGAUGAACUCAGGUGGGGAAAAUACUGACUAGGUACGUCUGUGUGUGUUUGUCACAGGCUGUCACCAAGAACCCGGGUUACCUGAACCUCAGGAAGUUCCGCGUGACGCGGAACAUUGCAAAAACGUGUCGUUACACAUUUGAUGAUGGAGAGGCUGACUUGGUCAGUGAGCCGACUCUGACCAACUGAAGCCAUCUUUGUUUUUCUGAGCACUGAUGUUUCUGUCAGUCACUGAGACGCCUGCUUCAGUUCUUCCUGAUUCUUCUUUUAGUUUACCCCCACCCCCACCACCUCUUUCGGUCAGUUCAGAGAUACAAAAAAGAGUCCAUCACUUUUAGGAUCAGGUCUCUCACGAUUCACAGGAGAGUUGUUGUCCAUCGGAGACGAAUGGAGGCUUUCCUGUCACCGUGGUAACCAGACGUGGCAUCAGCUGGUUUUCUUUUGUCAGAAGGGAGGGAACUUCAUUUUUUUUUUUCCCUCUUCAUUUUUCUCUUCUUUUUUUUUCUUUCUCAUCUUCUUCAUUUUUGUCAGUUUUUAAUGAACUGAAAUACCUCCACACAGGGGCUGAAAUUAAAUUUUUGACAAAAUAGUUUUUACCGGGCAAAUUAUAACACUACAUACUUUAGACGUUUUACUUUUUGAACUUUUCUUUGCGUUAUUUCAAGAAAAUAGUAUCAAAGAAAUUUAUUGGUAUGAACACGUUUGUUUUUUUUUAACUUGUCCUGUCCAACAGCUGGGCAAACAGAUGAAAGCUGA